rnacentral:piRNA from 2 species
GGUCGAUGAUGAUUGGUAAAAGGUCUGAUA